CCUACGGGGGGCAGCAGUGGGGAAUAUUGCACAAUGGGCGCAAGCCUGAUGCAGCCAUGCCGCGUGUGUGAAGAAGGCCUUCGGGUUGUAAAGCACUUUCAGCGGGGAGGAAGGCGGUGAGGUUAAUAACCUCAUCGAUUGACGUUACCCGCAGAAGAAGCACCGGCUAACUCCGUGCCAGCAGCCGCGGUAAUACGGGGGGUGCAAGCGUUAAUCGGAAUUACUGGGCGUAAAGCGCACGCAGGCGGUCUGUCAAGUCGGAUGUGAAAUCCCCGGGCUCAACCUGGGAACUGCAUUCGAAACUGGCAGGCUAGAGUCUUGUAGAGGGGGGUAGAAUUCCAGGUGUAGCGGUGAAAUGCGUAGAGAUCUGGAGGAAUACCGGUGGCGAAGGCGGCCCCCUGGACAAAGACUGACGCUCAGGUGCGAAAGCGUGGGGAGCAAACAGGAUUAGAUACCCUAGUAGUC
rnacentral:rRNA from 1 species